AUCGCUUCUCGGCCUUUUGGCUAAGAUCAAGUGUAGUAUCUGUUCUUAUCAGUUUAAUAUCUGAUACGUCCUCUAUCUAAGACUGAAGUGUGGACACUAUGCCCCUCCUUAGAUUUGGGAACAAAACACCCAUGGAAGGAGUUACAGAG
rnacentral:snRNA from 1 species